rnacentral:lncRNA from 1 species
AGACACCGCCCGACGCCCUCGCUUCAGCGGUUCCCAGGAGAGCAGGCGGCAGAGACCAAGUGAUCUACCGCUAAACCUGAGCCCACCUCGACCCUAUUUCUGACGUGUCCUCUGCUAGCGGGGGGAGUGGGAGGGAGAGGAAGGGGCCUCGGGGGGAUGGAUCCCUUAGCCGCUAUUGUCAACUUCCUCGGCAGGAGUGGAUGUCUGUAAAGGUUGGAAGGCUCUGAAGCGUCCCGAGGUCCCCUCUUUCCCACCCUACCUGUCGGCUGCGCGGCUCCACCACUUGCCAAACUAGGAGGAUUAAGUCGGUCUCGUCCGAGCCUAGGUCCGGCCCCAGCGCACCGGCAGUGGCCCCGAACAAAACCACCAGCGACUGAGCAGGCACUCUGAGUCCUCCGCAAAAGAAUGUGCAGGAUCAGAGGCCUCUUUCCAUUCUGCAAGGGUCACGCAAGACCCAUGGAAUUCAACAGGAGGCAAUCUAGGGACUAUAAAAGGUCGCGACGUCUGGCUUGAGGUUAAUGGAAGUUACAAAGGGUCAAAAGCCGACAGUGAGCGCUACCAGGCCGCCCUGUGGGCUCAGGAUAGUUUCCCACCUACUCGACUGUAAUUAGUACUCUGGCGAGAGUAAAAAGGUACUGGCGUGGGACUUAGAAUACAGGAUGCCACCGGCUGAAGAAGAACCUUGUGUGUUUGGAAAAGCGGGCUGCUUCCUAUCGGUCUUGGAUAAAAGGCAACCCAGAGCCCGGGUGCAUCCCUAACUCAUGCCCAAGGAAGGUCGUGCGGAGCCAGAGGACCUAGAAUGUAUAGUGCGCCUUCUGGGUUUGUCCACACAAUAGCGCAGGAACACAGCGACCCAAUAUAGUGAGAAGUGGCCGCAGCGCACACCCUGAGACCCUUCACCAGGCGGCCCACCCGGAGCCUGCCUACUCAGCCCCGCUACCACGAUAAGCCUGGAAUGUCAAAUAUUUGUUCUAGGAACCCAGUGAAACCUUGAGGUAAAGCCCCUCCCCUCCUCCCUCCCAUUCCGGAGCGCGCCUGCGUCAGUCCAGGCUUUCCGGUAAGGACACUCCCUUCCAACUAGUUCCUUCUCGACACCCCUGCAACCCAUCGUCCUGACUAUUUAAACUUCACAAGGUCUUCGCUACAGGCUCAGGUUCAGUGAGGCAGAGUCUUGGCUUCCCUACCCAGUUAUCCCAGAGCUACUGGUAUCGGUUUCUACCCACAACCUCCGAGCAAGGCUCCCCUUUCAACCUGUAGACCUCGCCUCCCGAUUCUCGGGAGAUCUUGCUGACUGUGGAAUCCCUGGCUGUUCCGAACCCCCUGGAAAGAAGCGGCUGUUCCCAGGUUUCUGCAAGGUAACGAAUCUGAAGAGUCAACAGAAUUGAGCGGCUCCAUUCAUUCGACUCUGGUUCUCUCAACCAGGCAUUCCCCAUAUUAAAACAAUUCCAGAACUUCAAA